UAUGCAAUAAAAUUGUCUGAUUUCUAUCCUAUUUCUUCACUACCAAUUACUGAUUCGGUGUUUAAAGAGACCAUCACCACAAAAACACUCCCCACUUUGCCCUCUCCCACUUUCUCACCUGAAAAAAGUGAACGGGCAAUCACCUUCAUCACAACGUCAGAUAAAACGGUUAUUAGCAAUAAAGGACGACAAUGAAGAACUGUGAAAGACUCGCCAAUUUAGCUUUAGCAGAGCAAUUACAUAAAGAUAAUAAAGCUGUGGCACCAGAAGUGGCAACCUCAUCCGCAAUUACAUCUUCAUUGGAUUCAAAAACAGGGAACUCUGACAGUUUGCAAGAUGAGACUUUUGAGAGUUUUGCAUUUGCUUUAAUUAAUGGUGCACUCUGAGUCUUUGAGGUACAUGGUCGGAGGAUCUGAGACUUCAGUUAUAAUUUGUCGUAAAUGUUUAAUAUAAUGUUAUAGAAUCAGGUUGAACCUACAUGCUACUAGAAAAUGUGUAAUCUUCUUUAUUUUGGUUUAUAUGUGAGCCAUUUGUUAUGUGUUUGCCUUUACAUCUGUACUUCAUGAAUUUGAGUCCCUAUAGUAGUCUUGAACAUAUAGAAUUUACUUUUAAUGUGUUAUUUAUUGUGGACA